rnacentral:rRNA from 1 species
GUCGAGGGGCAGCGGAUCCCUCCGGGGAUGCCGGCGACCGGCGAACGGGUGAGUAACACGUAUGGAACCUACCUUUAACUGGGGGAUAGCCCCGAGAAAUCGGAGUUAAUACCCCAUAUUAUAAUAAAGGGGCAUCCCUUUAUUAUGAAAGCUCCGGCGGUUAAAGAUGGCCAUGCGGUCCAUUAGCUUGUUGGUGAGAUAAAAGCUCACCAAGGCCACGAUGGAUAGCUGAUCUGAGAGGAUGAUCAGCCACAUUGGCACUGAGACACGGGCCAAACUCCUACGGGAGGCAGCAGUAGGGAAUCUUGGUCAAUAGGCGAAAGCCUGAACCAGCCAUGCCGCGUGCAGGAUGAAGGCCCUACGGGUCGUAAACUGCUUUUAUUCGGGAAGAAAAAGUCUGUGUCCACAGACCUUGACGGUACCGAAUGAAUAAGGACCGGCCAACUCCGUGCCAGCAGCCGCGGUAAUACGGAGGGUCCAAGCGUUAUCCGGAUUCACUGGGUUUAAAGGGUGCGCAGGCGGUCUGGUAAGUCAGUGGUGAAAGCCUUCGGCUCAACCGGAGAAUUGCCAUUGAAACUACUAGACUUGA